UCUUGUGGUCAGACCUGUCCCUGCCCUCUGGCUCCUCCCUCCCUCCUCCCUCCCACCUCUCUCUCACCAGUGCCUGCAGGUGCCUCAGGGAAGCAGAGCUCAGAGCCUAACCUGCCCUCUGCCACCCAUCCAGUCAGUCUCCGUCCAGCAGGUGCAGCUGGGAGGUCACCCUGGGCUUCUCCUCACCAGCGGGGAAGCAGAACCAUGCUGGGUCCCCUCGCCUUCCUGUGUGCCCUCCUGUAUCCCGGUGGCGUGGCAGCGAUCAGUGUGGAGCAGCCAGCCGUGGUGGUGGCACGUGCAGGCAGCUGGGCCACGCUGCCCUGCAAAACCAGCACCUCGGUCAGCUACAUCCACUGGUAUCGCCACCAGGAGGGUACAGCCCCCAAGAGGAUCCUCAUGCUGGAUAUGUCCCGCUCAUAUGUGACCAGAGAUGGUGUCUUGACAGUGGACAAGGUCCACGCCAAGAAAGGCAAGGAUAGCACAAGCUCUAACCUGUUGCUGCUGAAGCUGGCGAAGAGCGAUGAGGAGCUGUGCCGGACUGGCAAUUCAAGAAUCUGACCAUCUCCAAUGAAGAAUGUGGGAAUGAAAUAUCUCGCAAAUAAUUUCAAGGCCGAGAGACUCUCUGGGGAUUCCGCACAAAAUGGGUGCAAACCGAGACUGGAAGGCAGCUCUUGACUCCAGUUUCUAAGUUGCCGCCCGCCCACAGCUGGUUCCUGUGCAGAGAGAGAGACUCUUUGAUCAGAAGCCCAGGAAACAGUGUGGCUAACUUCGCAGCACCCUCACCCAUGCCUGGCGCUCACUCUCCUGCGGGGGAAAUGAUCCUCAGGGCAGGUGCAUGCAUCGGCCCUGGACGAGACCCCGGGCCCUCCGCCUUCCCCUUCUCCUUGAAAGUGACUCCAUAUGGGAUUUGGGGACCAGCUUCCCUGGACCUCUGUUCUCUCCUCUGUAAAGCGAGGAGGUUUAACUGCUACAAUGUGUGACUGAUUUCUGUAUUAAAGGACAAUUAUGGCAAUAAGAUCACCAUGUUCACAUCUUCUUGUAAAGUUAGUGAACUUCUUGACAAAAAAAAAGAAAGAAAAAGAAAGAAAAGAAAAGAAAAGAAACAAAGAAAAGAAGAAAAGAAACACUGU